rnacentral:rRNA from 1 species
GACGAACGCUGGCGGCGUGCUUAACACAUGCAAGUCGAACGAAGAGCGAUGGAAGCUUGCUUCUAUCAAUCUUAGUGGCGAACGGGUGAGUAACGCGUAAUCAACCUGCCCUUCAGAGGGGGACAACAGUUGGAAACGACUUCUAAUACCGCAUACGAUCUGACCUCGGCAUCGAGGAUAGAUGAAAGGUGGCCUCUACAUGUAAGCUAUCACUGAAGGCGGGGAUUGCGUCUGAUUAGCUAGUUGGAGGGGUAACGGCCCACCAAGGCGAUGAUCAGUAGCCGGUCUGAGAGGAGGAACGGCCACAUUGGGACUGAGACACGGCCCAGACUCCUACGGGAGGCAGCAGUGGGGAAUCUUCCGCAAUGGACGAAAGUCUGACGGAGCAACGCCGCGUGAGUGAUGACGGCCUUCGGGUUGUAAAGCUCUGUUAAUCGGGACGAAAGGCCUUUUUGCGAAUAGUGAGAAGGAUUGACGGUACCGGAAUAGAAAGCCACGGCUAACUACGUG